rnacentral:rRNA from 1 species
UACGUAGGGGGCAAGCGUUGUCCGGAUUUAUUGGGCGUAAAGAGCGUGUAGGCGGCCAGAUCGGUCAGCUGUGAAAACUCGAGGCUCAACCUCGAGAUGUCGGCUGAAACCAUCUGGCUAGAGUCCGGAAGAGGAGAAUGGAAUUCCCGGUGUAGCGGUGAAAUGCGCAGAUAUCGGGAAGAACACCCGUGGCGAAGGCGGUUCUCUGGGACGGUACUGACGCUGAGACGCGAAAGCGUGGGGAGCGAACAGG